rnacentral:rRNA from 1 species
UACGUAGGGUGCAGGCGUUAAUCGGAAUUACUGGGCGUAAAGCGUGCGCAGGCGGCUCCUUAAGUCAGAUGUGAAAUCCCCGGGCUCAACCCGGGAACUGCGUCCGAUACUGGCAGGCUUGAAUCCGGGAGAGGGAUGCGGAAUUCCAGGUGUAGCGGUGAAAUGCGUAGAUAUCGGGAGGAACAUCUGUGGCGAAGGCGACACCCUGGACCAGCACUGACACUGAGGCACGAAAGCGUGGGGAGCAAACAGG